rnacentral:rRNA from 1 species
GACGAACGCUGGCGGCGUGCUUAACACAUGCAAGUCGAACGGAAAGGCCCUGCUUUUGUGGGGUGCUCGAGUGGCGAACGGGUGAGUAACACGUGAGUAACCUGCCCUUGUCUUUGGGAUAACUUCAGGAAACUGGGGCUAAUACCGGAUAGGAGCUCCUGCUGCAUGGUGGGGGUUGGAAAGUUUCGGCGGUUGGGGAUGGACUCGCGGCUUAUCAGCUUGUUGGUGGGGUAGUGGCUUACCAAGGCUUUGACGGGUAGCCGGCCUGAGAGGGUGACCGGCCACAAUGGGACUGAGAUACGGCCCAGACUCCUACGGGAGGCAGCAGUGGGGAAUAUUGCACAAUGGGCGGAAGCCUGAUGCAGCAACGCCGCGUGCGGGAUGACGGCCUUCGGGUUGUAAACCGCUUUCGCCUGUGACGAAGCGUGAGUGACGGUAAUGGGUAAAGAAGCACCGGCUAACUACGUG